GGCGCCCUGCUGGAUUCGACGUGGGCUUUUUCUCGGCUGAAUCCUUGUUCGUGAAACCGGGAGUUGCCUCUGCCUGUGGUGAGCAGGCUCGGACAUUUACCGAGAAGCCUAAAGCAGGUACCGUGACGCCCACCUUGUUAUCAAGGGUUUCACGCUAUGUCUUCGACGGUCUUGUUGGGGCGCCC
rnacentral:other from 2 species